rnacentral:tRNA from 1 species
GAGCUCAGUUGGUGGAGCAUCGCACUAGUAACGCGGAGGUCAUGGGUUCAAAUCCCGUUGAAGCCA